GCUGGCCCAGUUUUCGUCUCCCACGUCCCUUUUCUGGCCCAAAAAAAAGUCGCCGUGCUCCCGUAGUCCCCUCCUUCCCCUUUCUCCUCACCUUCCGACAGCCGAGCGUGGGCAGCGGAGAGAUCCAGUGAGUCAGUCGGCGCCGUUCCCGUCCCAGAGGUCGUCCCUCUCCUGCCGCAAGGCAGCCUCCGCCUCAUGGUACGUUCUUGCGCCGAAGAUCGGGUCUUGGGGUUGCCUGUGAUGGGGACGGAGAUGGUGGAGCUCGGGGCGGGGAUAAUGGAGGUGGUGAUAGUGGAGGUCGUGGCCGCGGCGGCGGCGGCGGCGGAGGCCGCGGCGAGCGACGAGGGUGUCCCCCUUCUAGCGGCUAUUCCAGGCUUGUGGCGCCGUCUUCGGUGCCGGUGGCACCAUUCCCGUGCCUGCCGAGGAUGAGGCCAGAAGACGGUUCAGUGAAGUGAACAAAUUACUCCUUUCAUCGAUGCAUGCAAAGUCAUAUUUUUGGGUUGAUAGUUCAUACUGAUCUGCGUGACAGUGGCACUUCAUUACCGCAGUGAUCGACUACUGGUCUGCUUGUCAG
rnacentral:rRNA from 1 species